GAUGAACGCUGGCGGCGUGCCUAAUACAUGCAAGUCGAGCGAACGGACGAGAAGCUUGCUUCUCUGAUGUUAGCGGCGGACGGGUGAGUAACACGUGUAUAACCUACCUAUAAGACUGGGAUAACUUCGGGAAACCGGAGCUAAUACCGUAUAAUAUUUUGAACCGCAUGGUUCAAAAGUGAAAGACGGUCUUGCUGUCACUUAUAGAUGGAUCCGCGCUGCAUUAGCUAGUUGGUAAGGUAACGGCUUACCAAGGCAACGAUGCAUAGCCGAACUGAGAGGGUGGUCGGCCGCCUGGGAACGUGAGCACGGGCAAGACUCCUACGGGAGGCAGCAGUAGGGAAUGUUCCGCAAUGGGCGAGAGCCUGACGGAGCGACGCGGAGUGAGUGAUGGAGGUCUUCGGAUCGUAAAAAUCUGUUAUUAGGGAAGAACAUAUGUGUAAGGAACUGUGCACAUCUUGACGGUACCUAAUCAGAAAGCCCCGGCUAACUACGUG
rnacentral:rRNA from 1 species